rnacentral:rRNA from 1 species
GACGAACGCUGGCGGCGUGCUUAACACAUGCAAGUCGAACGGUGAAAGCGGAGCUUGCUCCGCUGGAUCAGUGGCGAACGGGUGAGUAACACGUGGGCAACCUGCCCCUCACUUCGGGAUAACUCCGGGAAACCGGGGCUAAUACCGGAUAUGACCUCCUUGGGCAUCCUUGGAGGUGGAAAGUUUUUCGGUGAGGGAUGGGCCCGCGGCCUAUCAGCUUGUUGGUGAGGUAGUGGCUCACCAAGGCGACGACGGGUAGCCGGCCUGAGAGGGCGACCGUCCACACUGGGACUGAGACACGGUCCAGACACCGACGGGAGGCAGCUGUGGGGGAUAUUGCGCAAUGGGCGAGAGCCUGACGCAGCAGCGCCGCGUGCUGGAUGACGGCCUUCGGGUAGUAAACCGCUUUCAGCAGGGAAGAAGCCGCAAGGUGACGGUACCUGCAGAAGAAGCACCGGCUAACUACGUGCCAGCAGCCGCAGGAA